UAGGGGGGUGCUGCAGCAACGGCGAGUGCCGCGAGCAAAGCUCAAAUUUGAAAUCUAGCACCUUCAGUGUUCGAGUUGUAAUUUGAAGAAGGUAACUUUGGUUUUGGCUCUUGUCUAUGUUCCUUGGAACAGGACGUCACAGAGGGUGAGAAUCCCGUGCGAUGAGAUGCCCAAUUCCAUGUAAAGUGCUUUCGAAGAGUCGAGUUGUUUGGGAAUGCAGCUCUAAGUGGGUGGUAAAUUCCAUCUAAAGCUAAAUAUUGGCGAGAGACCGAUAGCGAACAAGUACAGUGAUGGAAAGAUGAAAAGAACUUUGAAAAGAGAGUGAAAAAGUACGUGAAAUUGUUGAAAGGGAAGGGCUUGAGAUCAGACUUGGUAUUUUGCGUUCCCUUCCUUUUUGGUUGGGUUCCUCGCAGUUUACUGGGCCAGCAUCGGUUUGGAUGGUAGGAUAAUGACAUUGGAAUGUAGCUUUACUUCGGUGAAGUGUUAUAGAUUUGUUGAUACUGCCUAUCUAGACCGAGGACUGCGUCUUUGACUAGGAUGCUGGCGUAAUGAUCUUAAGCCGCCCGUCUUGGAAACGAGGGGUCUA
rnacentral:rRNA from 1 species